rnacentral:rRNA from 1 species
GUGGAUUAGAUACCCUGGUAGUCCACGCCCUAAACGAUGUCAACUGGUUGUCGGGCCUUCAUUGGCUUGGUAACGUAGCUAACGCGUGAAGUUGACCGCCUGGGGAGUACGGUCGCAAGAUUAAAACUCAAAGGAAUUGACGGGGACCCGCACAAGCGGUGGAUGAUGUGGAUUAAUUCGAUGCAACGCGAAAAACCUUACCUACCCUUGACAUGUACGGAAUCCUGCCGAGAGGUGGGAGUGCCCGAAAGGGAGCCGUAACACAGGUGCUGCAUGGUCGUCGCCAACU